rnacentral:tRNA from 1 species
GCUCGGCUGGCGAAAUCGGUAAACGCUGCGGACUUAAAAUCCGCUGGGCUCUGCCCUUGGAGGUUCGAGUCCUCCGCCGAGCA